CACGUAGGGGGGCAAGCGUUGUCCGGAUUUAUUGGGCGUAAAGAGCUCGUAGGCGGUUCGGUAAGUUGGGUGUGAAACCUCCAGGCUCAACCUGGAGACGCCACCCGAUACUGCUGUGACUAGAGUCCGGUAGGGGAGCGUGGAAUUCCUGGUGUAGCGGUGAAAUGCGCAGAUAUCAGGAGGAACACCAGCGGCGAAGGCGGCGCUCUGGGCCGGAACUGACGCUGAGGAGCGAAAGCGUGGGGAGCAAACAGG
rnacentral:rRNA from 1 species